rnacentral:siRNA from 1 species
UCGAUUUGGCCGGGUCAACGAUA